rnacentral:rRNA from 1 species
UACGUAGGGGGCGAGCGUUGUCCGGAUUCAUUGGGCGUAAAGCGCGUGUAGGCGGUCCGGUAAGUCCGCUGUGAAAGUCGGGGGCUCAACCCUCGGAUGCCGGUGGAUACUGUCGGGCUUGAGUACGGAAGAGGCGAGUGGAAUUCCUGGUGUAGCGGUGAAAUGCGCAGAUAUCAGGAGGAACACCCGUGGCGAAGGCGGCCUUCUGGGGCAUUCCUGACACUGAGAAGCGAAAGCUAGGGGAGCAAACAGG